rnacentral:rRNA from 1 species
AUUGAACGCUGGCGGCAGGCCUAACACAUGCAAGUCGAACGAGUGGCGGACGGGGGAGUAAUGUCUGGGAAACUGCCCGAUGGAGGGGGAUAACUACUGGAAACGGUAGCUAAUACCGCAUACCAUCGGAUGUGCCCAGAUGGGAUUAGCUAGUAGGUGGGGUAAUGGCUCACCUAGGCGACGAUACCUAGCUGGGCUGAGAGGAUGACCAGCCAAAUUGGAACUGAGACACGGUCCAGACUCUGACGGGAGGCAGCAGUGGGAAAUAUUGCACAAUGGGCGAAAGCCUGAUGCAGCCAUGCCGCGUGUAUGAAGAAGGCCUUCGGGUUGUAAAGUACUUGCAGCGGGGAGGCGUUACCCGCAGAAGAAGCACCGGCUAACUCCGUGCCAGCCGCAGCGGUAAUAC